rnacentral:lncRNA from 1 species
GUGGCCAUGGGCCUUUGCUUCUCGUUCGCCCACCUGCACCACCCCAUCCCUAUUUUCCUUACUUUGUGUUGCAGCUGCCAAGGUCAAGGAUGGACAUGAUGAACAGAACUGUAACCACUGACUCAACACCUGCUCUGGAAGAUAGAGGGAUGCUGCCUGAGCCCUCAGGGUGUUUCUGGAAUAGUAGAUCAUGGUGAAGUCUCAAGAUGAGGUCCACAAGCAAGGCUGGCAGAACACUCAGCCAUCAUUUCACCUCUGCAGCAGCAGCUGGGGACACCUGGUUCAGAUAUGGUUCAAAGAUGGUUCAGACAUGGUUCAAACCUGGUUCAGCCUGG